rnacentral:lncRNA from 1 species
AGGCGGCGCGGCGAGCAACGAAGACCGAUACGACCGCGAGGAGGAUUCGCCGUGCAAGCAAAGAAGAUGGAUGUGCGCAGGAACUAGAGGCUGGACGAAAGGCAGUGUUUUGUUCUAAAUCGGCGCCUGAGAGGAAUCUCCAAGGGAGAGAAAUGCGAAGAAUUCACUCACAGGGACGCAGAAAUGCCAAACGAGAAAUGCCAAACGAGAAGUGAGCAGGGGGAAUCUGGAGCGGAGAAAUGAGAAACGAAGAAUGAGCUCGCGAGAAAAGACCUUCGCGCCUCGAGGCAAAAACCUUCCGGUCGACGGAGAUUCUGCUCGAAAUCAGGUGUAUGCGCAGCUGGCGGAUCUUCAGAUUCGACUGAAUAAGAUUCCAGUGCUGUAUAUUCAUCUUACGUAUUAUAUACAGGAGGAGGCAGUGUAUGUCGCUAUAUGCAUCCGCUCUCUCUAUGGUUCUACUGUGGCCUUGACAGCUUCAGAUGUUGAUGUUCAGAGACAGGCCGUCUUAGUGUACUACUAGGUACUCUUUGUUCGUUCCAGAUGGUGAGGCGUCUGUACGUAGCACCGGAGAAAGCGAGACGAAACUAAACAGGCAUCCAAGCGUGGUAGGUCCAUCGCUGUAGCUCCCGUCAGACGAUCCUCACUCAGGUUAUGUGUGUUGAAAUGAACAACAGUGCGAGAGAGAUUGAUCUGUCGCAUGCCGAAGUUAAGUUGCCACCACCCUAGUGCUACUCUUCCAUCUAGAUGUUCGUCGCUAGCCGAGAAAGGACUCGCGAGUAAAAAAACCAAGACUCGUCCCUCCACUGAAGUCAGCCAAGUACACCGGAGCGAACGAGGAGAAAACGUCCGGGUCUGCGGCUUCGCUUCGUUUUUCUCUCGAGGCGAAGUUCCACAUAGAGAGCAGCAGAGGCGGGUGCAUGUGGGUCUGUAAGGAUCGGUAAACUGAGCAAAGCCAAAUGUUUGGUGUUGUCCAUGUACACUCAUUUCUAUCCAUUUCUUUGGUGUGUCUCUUUACAAGAAGUACGGAUUUGUGUAACAGCACACUGGGUGGAGACACCUGAGCUCGAAGGGGAAAACGAGCAGCGACUUCAUCGAGGAAGUCGACGCCGCGUUCCCUCAUUGCCUUUGUUUCCUCACGGGCAGCGCCUCUCGUUCUUCAAGUGAUAACCAGGAGAUCCCUGCUGCGUCUUCUGGAGAAAGAGGCGGCGCGCUACUGCAGAGGUGUGUGUACACCCGAAGAGAGCGGACGAGGAAAUCUGUCCAACGAAGAUCUUUUCAGCCUCUUUGAGUCGUUUUUCACAUGCGAAAACGGUGGGGUGUACAGACACGAAGGGCGAGAAGCGCUGUGCUCUGAAGUCCCCAAAGGCC